UACGUAGGGGGCGAGCGUUGUCCGGAAUCAUUGGGCGUAAAACGCGCGUAGGCGGCCCGGUAAGUCCGCUGUGAAAGUCCAGGGCUCAACCCUGGGAUGCCGGUGGAUACUGUCGGGCUCGAGUCCGGAAGAGGCGAGUGGAAUUCCUGGUGUAGCGGUGAAAUGCGCAGAUAUCAGGAGGAACACCAAUGGCGAAGGCAGCUCGCUGGGACGUGACUGACGCUGAGACGCGAAAGCGUGGGGAGCAAACAGG
rnacentral:rRNA from 1 species